UACAAAACAGGCCAUGACUAAAAGGUUUAGUUCCAUGUCAAAGUCAUUGGAGUAGCACCAUCAUCUUCUUCAGCAACUAGAAUGUCUUGUCAACGUAUGGUCACCUUGGUGCUCCUGGUUUUCCUAUUGCUUAAUAUUGUGGAGAAUGAGGCUGCAUCAUUUCCCUUCUCUUGCCCCACCCUGAGUGGAGUCUGUCGAAAACUUUGCCUGCCAACAGAGAUGUUCUUUGGACCACUGGGCUGUGGAAAGGGAUUCUUGUGCUGUGUUUCUCAUUUCUUAUGACAACUGAAUAAUUACUAGAUUGUUUCUGAUCAAUCACACAUGAAGACAUCACCAUCCCCAUUUAUGGUCUUUCUUCUUAUGUCCCUCCACCUGACCUUGGAUUCUGUGGACUGCCUUCCAUGACUUAACUGUGUGUCUAACUACCUUUAUAUUUAUUUGUUGCAGUUUUCUGUUUGUAACACCCCCCAAAUAUAACAUAUCCUACUUUGUAUCUAAUAGUAUUUCAUUGCAAGAAUCACCACCAUCAUCACAGCUUAGAUGAUGGUGGUGGCGGGGUGGGAUGAUAAAUACACUGGGAAAACAAUGUAAUAAAUGCAUGUAUUAGUGAUACAGUUCUCCUGUGAGGAGUGGAUGGUUAUAAAAGCUGUUCUGUUAUAUUAUGGUGCUAUUAUGGUACUCUUGUUUGGAAGAACUUAUAAAGCAUAAAGGGGCAAUCUGUGAUUGCUACAUCCAUUGUUUUUGUCAAAAUGCACAAGCUCAGAAAAUUUGGUUGGAAAUCAUUGAUGGACAGCCAUGUUCAAACUUUGUUUUUAUUAAUUAAGAAACAUUUCUAUAAUGUAGGUUGUAUAAAUACUGUAAGUAGGAAACAAAUCCAAUUGAAUCCCUUUUAAGAUUGAAUUUUAAGGCAGCAAAAUGUGAAAACUGUGCAAGGGCUAUGUAGACUUCCGCUAGGCAUUGUUAAUAUCCACUGACUCUCGAAGAAUAUAACUUAUAAAUGCCUCAUGAGCUUAGUUCAACUGUCUUACCCCAUCAGAACCCCAAAUAUAAGCUUGUUUUACCACAUUGUUUGUAAACAAUGCCAUUGUAAACAAACACUCUAUAAACAAUUCCAUUGUAAACAAACACUGUAUAAAAACAUGGUUAAAACUAUUUCUCUAUGAAUUCAAGAAUGGUUACAUUUCUCCAGCCCAGCCCCAUCCCUCAGCUAUUUAAUAAAUAAGUGGCAGGG